rnacentral:lncRNA from 1 species
UUAUAAGUAUCAAUAUGAUUAGUAACAAAUUUGGCUUAAUUUACUAUUUACAAAGAAAAAUAUCAGCAUAAACAAACAUUAACAAUUAAAUUAGAUUUUGAUCUCAAAGAAAAAAAUCAUAACGAAUAAAAGUUAAACAAGCCUAAUAAACAAUAGAACAAAAUCUUAAUAUAGUAUUAUAAGAUGUUAAAGGUUAAAUUUUAGUGCAUAAGAAAAGCACUUCUCUUACACACGCAUAUUGUGUAUAUAUAUAUAUCAAUCUUUUAAUAAAAAAAGAUAACAAGUAAAAAGAAACUAUUAAAAAGCAAAAGUGAAAGAUGGAAUGCCAAUAUCUUAUUUUUGUUGUUGCAUUUGUUUCCAUGGUUCUUGUUGGGGCAUUUGCUGUCGAAUCGUCACCUUCACCAGUCCCUUCCAAGGCAUCUUCACCUUCGAAGUCGCCAUCUACUUCAAGCUCCUCUUCCCCUAGCCCUAGUAAAAGCGACAACCCUAGCGCCAACAAAGGAUACGCUUUUGAGGUUGAGUCUCUUGAGGAGGUCUCAUCCCCUCCUUCACAAACUGCCACUGAUGAAGUUUUUGACUCCCUUCUCCUAGCCCUAAAAACACAGGUGAUGUUGCUGAUAGUGAUAGCCCUAAAUCUGGUAAUGAUAGUGCAGCACCAGCACCAGCACCCUCUAAUGCCAUUGAAAUCAAGGCCACCACUUGCAUUGUCUGUAACACCCCACACUCGGCGUACACGUUAUGAUCAGAUUCUAGAGGUUGUAACGCUUAUGCAAAAAGAGACAAAUGUUUGAUCUGAUGAAAACCACUUCAAUGGAAGGAAAAUUCAAUUGAAUUACUCUUUUGGAAAACACUGCGACUUUUCGAAACCACGGUUUAAUUUUGUAUCUAAAAACAAAACCAAUUCACUUGAAAAUACUUGCGUGCUAAAACAUUUUGAACAAUUUGAUUAACCUUGCAGCGAAAUACCUUAUAGUUCUUUGUAUAUAAAAAAGUGAUUCAUUUUAAUUGUCUUAGGUUAAGCAUCCUUAAAUCAUAAAACCUUCGCGUAGUGAGUAUAAAAAAUUGUCCUAACGAACUAAACAAAAACAAAAAUUAAAAUGUCCAACCAAAAAUAAAAACCCAAAACAGUCCAGAAAUGUCCAUGAUCAAAACAAAUGAAAAAGUUCGUAGUGCUUAAUUGAAGAAUUUAUGAAACCCUAGUUCCCGAGUCACCGUCCAUUCCUAGGUCGGAGGUUUACCUGAAACAAAUCAUACAAACUGUGAGCUUUAAGCCCAGUGUGUGUUUUAACCCAUAAUCUUAGUACAAGCAGACACAUAAUUCAGCUUGUCUUAUACCAUAUGUCAUAUUAUUUCUUAUCACAGGUCAGUUUAUAAUAUAGAGCAUAUUUUAUCAUAUUUUACGUAACAUAUCAUAUCGAUACAUAACAUGGCAUAUAGAAUCAUAACAUAGCAUAUCUUAUCAGAUUUAUAUCAAGUCCUACGCUCAUCUACUACAAACCAUCUCUGUCCAACCAAUCACAACGUAUAUGACUACUAAAGCCCAUCCAUCCAAUCACACCAAUAGGUGGCGGUGUGCCACUCAUAUAAUUGCAACUGAGCUGCCAUACAUAAAUUUGUGUUCUAGCCGCCAUAAUUGCAAUAUAAACUGCCAUAUAGAACUGGGUCCAUCAUAUCAUAACCCACGCCGAAACACAAACAAAUCAUAAUCAUAUAUAUAUCAUUCCUACAUAUAUCAUAAACUAUACGUCAUGCAUACUUACAUAUAAAUCAUAACAUAACACAUAAUUUAAUGGUAACAUUUUCUACUUAACAUACUUCCUAAGCCUACCCACACGACCUACAAAAAUUACACAUUCACAUGACCAGGUGGCAACACACAAUCAGUCACAUGGCCUACAUACACGGCCGUGUGGCACUAGGCAGUUUCAAAAUACAGCCUAGUUUUACGAUUAAAUCGAGUUUUUGGGUUGAAUUCACACACCUAAUAGCGAGAUUGAUCCUCCACACAACCGAACACCUAGAACCCUACAAACGGAAUCAAAACUAAACGUUUACAACUUUGAUUUAGCACAAAAAUUUCCACUUAAAUUCACUCUUUUCACAAGAAAGUAGUCCCUAAAUCAAUAACGAGCACUUGCUGCAACUUAUAGCAACUCCUCUAAGAACUUAAUUUGCUGGAGGAUCGUCUAUCACCACAUGCUCUUUUCCUAAAACGAAAGAUUCCACAAUAAAAAAAAUUUCAUCACAAGGAGAAUCAAUUAACAAAAUAGAAAAGAAAAGAACAAGAGAAAGAAAGAAUAAUCUUGACAGAUGCCGCAAGAACAAGACCAACCCAAAAGCCAAUUGAAAAGUAAAGAAAACAAAAGAAUGAAAACAAGUAGCAGUGAUAGCAAAAAGGGAGAAUUUGAAUGGUAGUGGGAAGGUAAGAAACGUGAGGAAGGGAGUGGUAUUGACCGAAAAGAAAAAUGAAGGAAUU